GAUGAACGCUGGCGGCGUGCCUAAUACAUGCAAGUCGAGCGAACAGACGAGGAGCUUGCUCCUCUGACGUUAGCGGCGGACGGGUGAGUAACACGUGGAUAACCUACCUAUAAGACUGGGAUAACUUCGGGAAACCGGAGCUAAUACCGGAUAAUAUAUUGAACCGCAUGGUUCAAUAGUGAAAGACGGUUUUGCUGUCACUUAUAGAUGGAUCCGCGCCGCAUUAGCUAGUUGGUAAGGUAACGGCUUACCAAGGCAACGAUGCGUAGCCGACCUGAGAGGGUGAUCGGCCACACUGGAACUGAAACACGGUCCAGACUCCUACGGGAGGCAGCAGUAGGGAAGCUUCCGCAAUGGGCGAAAGCCUGACGGAGCAACGCCGCGUGAGUGAUGAAGGUCUUCGGAUCGUAAAACUCUGUUAUGAGGGAAGAACAAAUGUGUAAGUAACUAUGCACGUCUUGACGGUACCUAAUCAGAAAGCCACGGCUAACUACGUG
rnacentral:rRNA from 1 species